UAUAUCAGUAUUGGUUUGCUUGCGAAUUAUCCUAACUAUCCUAAUCAUCUUGAUCUUCGUCAAGGUUAAGGAUGGUGCACAUUUGUACACUGAAAAUAAAUUCAACAAUUCGAAUUAGUUCAAUACUCGACACUACCAUGUAAAUAUGUCGACAGUAUAAUAAUGUUACCAUAAAUAGAUACAUGGUUUAAAAGAAAUUAUGAAGUUUGAAAACACUAUUGAUGUAGUCCAUAUCAACAGAAUUUAUGUAGUAAGCACAUUAUCGUAUAGUGUUUUUUAACCGACUAUGUUUUUCAUUUGUGCUGACUAUACAAAUUGUCAAUAAACGGGUGUACUUUGUUAUUGUCACAUAAAGUUACAAUACAGCAGACAAUUUCGUAACACAUCAGUGAUUGAUUUAAGAAAAAUGUAUAUUGUGACUUAUAUUGUGCAAUUUGGAAGGUCUUGCAGGUCGUUGUAGGAAAAACAUCAAGCGGUUGAUGAAAACGACGAACGUCAUCCGAUUCCCGGAUUCAAAUCGCUCGAAUCCGACGGAAAAAAUAACAAUAUAUGGCAGGAAAAAUUUUACCGAACAGAGCCUGGGAUCAACAGUUGCAACCAAGCAAUGCUGCUCCGUGUCUACGUUGAUAAUCAAUAUUUCACCAGGCACAUCAUCAUUUGAUUUGAUGCAAAAAUAAAAAGAAUUCAAUGAAA